GACGAACGCUGGCGGCGUGCUUAACACAUGCAAGUCGAACGGAAAGGCCCUGCUUGCAGGGUACUCGAGUGGCGAACGGGUGAGUAACACGUGGGUGAUCUGCCCUGCACUUCUGGAUAAGCCUGGGAAACUGGGUCUAAUACCGGAUAGGAGCCAUUUUUAGUGUGAUGGUUGGAAAGUUUUUUCGGUGUAGGAUGAGCUCGCGGCCUAUCAGCUUGUUGGUGGGGUAAUGGCCUACCAAGGCGGCGACGGGUAGCCGGCCUGAGAGGGUGGACGGCCACAUUGGGACUGAGAUACGGCCCAGACUCCUACGGGAGGCAGCAGUGGGGAAUAUUGCACAAUGGGCGCAAGCCUGAUGCAGCGACGCCGCGUGGGGGAUGACGGCCUUCGGGUUGUAAACCCCUUUCGCUAGGGACGAAGCUUUUUGUGACGGUACCUAGAUAAGAAGCACCGGCUAACUACGUG
rnacentral:rRNA from 1 species